rnacentral:tRNA from 1 species
GGUCUUGUAGCUCAGUUGGUUAGAGCGUUGGUCUUAUGAGCCAAAAGUUGUGGGUUCGAGCCCUGUUAGAACCA